AAUUUUUUUUUAUUAACAGAUAAUCCGUAUAUGUAUUAACUCACAAAUUCAAGAUGUUUUGAGUCAAUGUUUUUAUUGCAAUACCAAUCAAUUUAAUCAAACUGCACUGGUAUGCACUGGACAGAUAAAUGUACCGGCUAUAAUCAAUAAAAGUCAAAUGUUAUGCCUAAUAAACAUUUGUAAUCAACAAUUGUUGUCAACAAUACCUACCUUAACUACAACACUUGCUGGAGGAGGAGGAGGAGGAGGGCUAGGAGGCG